rnacentral:rRNA from 1 species
CUACGGAGGGUGCAAACGUUGUUCGGAAUUACUGGGCGUAAAGCUCGCGUAGGCGGUUUGUUAAGUCAGAUGAGAAAGUCCACAGCUCAACUGUGGAAGUGCAUUUGAAACUGGCAGACUUGAGUACUGGAGGGGGUGGUGGAAUUCCCGGUGUAGAGGUGAAAUUCGUAGAUAUCGGGAGGAAUGCCGGUGGCGAAGGCGACCACCUGGCCAGAUACUGACGCUGAGGUGCGAAAGCGUGGGGAGCAAACAGGAUUAGAAACCCCAGUAGUCC